AUUGAACGCUAGCGGGAUGCCUUACACAUGCAAGUCGAACGAGUGGCGGACGGGUGAGUAAUAUAUUGAAAGUGCCUAGUAGCGGGGGAUAACUACUCGAAAGAGUGGCUAAUACCGCAUACUACGGGAUAACCUAUAUGGGAUGAGCUAGUAGGUGUGGUAAUGGCUCACCUAGGCGACGAUCCCUAGCUGGUCCGAGAGGAUGAUCAGCCACACUGGGACUGAGACACGGCCCAGACUCCUACGGAGGCAGCAGUGGGGAAUCUUGCACAAUGGGCGCAAGCCUGAUGCAGCCAUGCCGCGUGUAUGAAGAAGGCCCUAGGGUUGUAAAGUACUUUCAGUCGGGAGGCGUUACCGACAGAAGAAGCACCGGCUAACUCCGUGCCAGCAGCCGCGGUAAUAC
rnacentral:rRNA from 1 species